rnacentral:rRNA from 1 species
UACGUAGGGGGCUAGCGUUGUCCGGAAUCAUUGGGCGUAAAGCGCGUGUAGGCGGUCCGGUAAGUCCGCUGUGAAAGUCGGGGGCUCAACCCUCGGAUGCCGGUGGAGUACUGUCGGGCUUGAGUACGGAAGAGGCGAGUGGAAUUCCUGGUGUAGCGGUGAAAUGCGCAGAUAUCAGGAGGAACACCGGUGGCGAAGGCGGACUCUGGGCCGAUACUGACGCUGAGGAGCGAAAGCGUGGGAGCAAACGGG